GAUGAACGCUGGCGGCGUGCCUAAUACAUGCAAGUCGAGCGAACAGAUGAGGAGCUUGCUCCUCUGACGUUAGCGGCGGACGGGUGAGUAACACGUGGAUAACCUACCUAUAAGACUGGGAUAACUUCGGGAAACCGGAGCUAAUACCGGAUAAUAUAUUGAACCGCAUGGUUCAAUAGUGAAAGACGGUUUUGCUGUCACUUAUAGAUGGAUCCGCGCCGCAUUAGCUAGUUGGUAAGGUAACGGCUUACCAAGGCAACGAUGCGUAGCCGACCUGAGAGGGGGUUCGCCCCACCUGGAACGGAACACGGGCCCAGCCCCCUAGGGGGGGCAGCAGGGGGGAAUCUUCCGCAAUGGGCGAAAGCCUGACGGAGCAACCCCGGGUGAGGGAUGAAGGUUUUCGGAUCGUAAAACUUUUUUAUUAGGGAAAAAAAAAUGUGUAAGUAACUAUGCACGUCUUGGCGGUACCUAAUCAAAAAGCCCCGGCUAACUCCGU
rnacentral:rRNA from 1 species